rnacentral:rRNA from 1 species
CCUACGGGAGGCAGCAGUGGGGAAUAUUGCACAAUGGGGGAAACCCUGAUGCAGCGACGCCGCGUGAGUGAAGAAGUAUCUCGGUACGUAAAGCUCCUUCAGCAGGGAAGCAAAUGACGGUACCUGACUCAGAAGCCGCGGCUAACUACGUGUCAGCAGCCGCGGGAACACGUAGGGGGCAAGCGUUAUCCGGAUUGACUGGGUGUAAAGGGAGCGUAUACGGUAGCCCAAGUCUGGAGUGAAAUUGCAGGGCUUAACCCCGGAACUGCUUUGGAAACUGUGCGGCUUGAGUGCAGGAGGGGGAAGCGGAAUGCGUGGUGUAGCGGUGAAAUGCGUAGAUAUCAGGAGGAACACCGGUGGCGAAGGCGGCUUACUGGACUGUAACUGACGUUGAGGCACGAAAGCGUGGGGAGCAAACAGGAUUAGAUACCCUUGUAGUC